rnacentral:misc_RNA from 1 species
AAGUCGUAACAAGGUUUCCGUAGGUGAACCUGCGGAAGGAUCAUUAAAGAAACAUGGACGUGGCCUGGGAGGGAGGUUGUGCUGGCGCCCCUGGCGCACGUGCACGCCCCCGCCUUUGCCCGCUCAUCCAACUCACACCUGUGCACCUUCCGAUCUCGUCGGAUGGGAGGGCUCCCCCUCGGGGGGGCCACCCUCCGGCGUAGACCUCUUCACAUCAUCCUUCAUGUCUUGUCGAAUGUAAAAUGCGUAAACGCAAUCUAAAAACAACUUUCAACAACGGAUCUCUUGGUUCUC